rnacentral:rRNA from 1 species
ACGGGGUGCAGCAGGCGCGAAAACUUCACACUGUGCGAAAGCGCGAUGAGGGAAUCCCAAGUGUUUGCUCGUAAGAGUAAACUGUUUCUUUGUUUAAAACGCAGAGAGAGUAAGGGCUGGGUAAGACGGGUGCCAGCCGCCGCGGUAAUACCUGCAGCUCAAGUGGUGAUCAUUAUUAUUGGGCCUAAAACGUCCGUAGCCGGUUUAGUAAAUGCCUGGGUAAAUCGUGUAGCUUAACUAUACGACUUCCGGGUAGACUGCUAAACUUGAGACCGGGAGAGGCUAGAGGUACUCCUGGGGUAGAGGUGAAAUUCUGUAAUCCUAGGGGGACCACCAGUGGCGAAGGCGUCUAGCUAGAACGGGUCUGACGGUGAGGGACGAAGCCCUGGGGCACAAACCGGAUUAGAUACCCGGGUAGUCCAGGGUGUAAACGCUGCUUGCUUGAUGUUAGUUGGGCUCCGAGCCCAACUAGUGUCGGAGAGAAGUUGUUAAGCAAGCUGCCUGGGAAGUACGGUCGCAAGGCUGAAACUUAAAGGAAUUGGCGGGGGAGCACAGCAACGGGUGGAGCGUGCGGUUUAAUUGGAUUCAACGCCGGAAAACUCACCGGAGGCGACGGUUACAUGAAGGCCAGGCUGAUGACCUUGCCUGAUUUUCCGAGAGGUGGUGCAUGGCCGCCGUCAGUUCGUACCGUAAGGCGUUCUGUUAAGUCAGACAACGAACGAGACCCUCAUCUUUAAUUGCUACUGGUAAGUUUGCUUACUGGGCACAUUAGAGAA